rnacentral:tRNA from 1 species
AGGAGUGUGGCGAAUUGGUAAGCCAGCACUCUGCUAAGGUGCCGCCUGGAAAGGCUUGUGGGUUCGAGUCCCACCUCCU